UACGUAGGGGGCAAGCGUUGUCCGGAUUUAUUGGGCGUAAAGGGCGCGUAGGCGGCUUUGCAAGUGACGGGUGAAAUCCCUCGGCUUAACCGAGGAACUGCCUGUCAGACUGUGAGGCUUGAGACCGGGAGAGGUGAGUGGAAUUCCCAGUGUAGCGGUGAAAUGCGUAGAUAUUGGGAGGAACACCAGUGGCGAAGGCGGCUCACUGGACCGGAACUGACGCUGAGGCGCGAAAGCGUGGGGAGCAAACAGG
rnacentral:rRNA from 1 species